rnacentral:ncRNA from 1 species
GAUCGUUGAGGUCCGUGUUGUAUUUUUAGCUUUUUAAUAGUUCUACAUGUAAGUUUUAGCAUAAAAUUUAUUAAUAAUAAAAUUUUAAAAAAGAGAACCUCAGUAGAAAAUAUUAGGUAUAUAAGAAAUUUAUAUCUAGGUAAUUAAGAAGAAGUGGAAAAUGGCGUGCCAGCAGCCGCGGUUAUACUCCUGCUUCGAGUUAAAAUAUAUAAACGAAAUUUUGUUUAUAAAACAUGUAUAAAGGAAUUUUUUUAAAAUUAUUAGGUAGAAUUUUAAUUUUAUGAAAUAACAAUAAAUUAUAAACUAAAAAAUUAUAGUAGGGACCAGGAUUAGAUACCCUGUUACUUAUAAAUAAUAAAUUUCGGAUUAGUAAUAUUAAUGAAAUUUAACGGAUUUGGCGGCAAGAUAGCCAUUUAGAGGAACCUGUCCUAUAAACGAUGAACCACGAAUACUUUACUUUUUUUUGUAAUCAGUUUGUAUACCGCUGUUGUCAGUUAGUUUCUCUAGAAAGCUUUCAUAUAUGAUAAUGUCAUAGACUUCAAGUAAAGGUGCAGCUUAUAUAAAAGUUAGAGGUGGGUUACAUUUAUAAGAAUAAUACGGAUAAGAUAAUGAAAAAAUCUUUGAAGGUGGAUUUAAUUGUAAAGUUUAAUUAAACUUGAUGAGAGCUCUGUCUUGUGUACACACCGCCCGUCGCUCUCUUUUUUAAACGAGAUAAGUCGUAACAAGGUAAGUGUAAUGGAAAUUGUACUUG